GUGGCCGCAGGGGUCGGAGGGGCCCUUUUGUUCCUCCUCGUGCUCAUGGGUGUAAUUGUGGCCUGGUACCAGUGGCAUCGUGUAGCUGCCAGAAAGAACCAGGAAAGGGCCCCCCCCUGGAUCCCCCAGACACCCCAGAGAAGGGGCAAGUGCUGUACACACGUGUUGCAGUCAUCAAGAGGGCAGGGGGAACCCCAGAUGACCUACGCGGAGCUGCAGGGACACCAGGGGUGAGUAUGAGAAGUCGGUGACAUCGAUGAGAAUGUGCUGUGACAAUGGGGGGAACUGGGGGGCAUUAGGCAUCCCCCCCACCAUGGGCAGCCACACGUGUAUGUGCUGCCACUCAAAACUGCCCCUCUCCCUCCCCGUGGAGGCAUAAUGAUCCCAAAGGGCUGAGA